GCGACAGUAGCUUAAAAUAAAGCAUUGGUCUUGUAAGUCAAAGAUGGGCGAUAUAAAGCCCCUGUCGCU
rnacentral:tRNA from 1 species